rnacentral:ncRNA from 1 species
CAAUGAUAAGAGCAAACCAGUCGAAAGGCUGGGACGCAAAACUAAAGGGCCUUAAAAGGUAGCCAGUUUCCAAC